rnacentral:rRNA from 1 species
GACGAACGCUGGCGGCGUGCUUAACACAUGCAAGUCGAACGGAAAGGCCCUGCUUGCAGGGUACUCGCGUGGCGAACGGGUGAGUAACACGUGGGUGAUCUGCCCUGCACUUCGUGAUAAGCCUGGGAAACUGGGUCUAAUACCGGAUAGGAGCCCUUUUUAGUGUGAUGGUUGGAAGGUUUUUUCGGUGUAGGAUGAGCUCGCGGCCUAUCAGCUUGUUGGUGGGGUAAUGGCCUACCAAGGCGGCGACGGGUAGCCGGCCUGAGAGGGUGGACGGCCACAUUGGGACUGAGAUACGGCCCAGACUCCUACGGGAGGCAGGAGGGGGGAAUAUUGCACAAUGGGCGCAAGCCUGAUGCAGCGACGCCGCGGGGGGGAUGACGGGCUUCGGGUUGUAAACUCGUUUCGCUAGGGACGAAGCUGUUUGUGACGGUACCUAGAUAAGAAGCACCGGCUAACUACGUG